rnacentral:rRNA from 1 species
GAUGAACGCUGGCGGCGUGCCUAAUACAUGCAAGUCGAACGGAGAUAUUGUAGCAAUACGGUAUUUUAGUGGCGAACGGGUGAGUAACGCGUUGGUGACCUGCCCCGAAGAGGGGGAUAACAGUCCGAAAGGAUUGCUAAUACCCCAUGUGGUUAUUUGGAUUAGAUGCCUGAUAACAAAAGGAGAAAUUCACUUCGGGAGGGACCUGCGUCCCAUCAGCUUGUUGGUAAGGUAACGGCUUACCAAGGCUAUGACGGGUAGGGGACCUGAGAGGGUGGCCCCCCACAAUGGAACUGAAACACGGUCCAUACACCUACGGGAGGCAG